UACGGAGGGGGCUAGCGUUGUUCGGAAUUACUGGGCGUAAAGCGCGCGUAGGCGGACCUGCAAGUCGGGGGUGAAAGCCCGAGGCUCAACCUCGGAACUGCCUUCGAUACUGCGGGUCUCGAGUCCGGGAGAGGUGAGUGGAAUUCCUAGUGUAGAGGUGAAAUUCGUAGAUAUUAGGAAGAACACCGGUGGCGAAGGCGGGUUGCUGGGCCGACACUGACGCUGAGGCGCGAAAGCCAGGGGAGCGAACGGG
rnacentral:rRNA from 1 species